UUCGAGUGCAUUUCCUGUUCAUCGGAGCCGCGGAAGGUUGGACAUGAUGAGCAGGAGAAUUUGAUUGAUAGCUUGGAGGGCCGCAUGUGUGCCGGUUGCCUAUAAUUCAUAGUUUGGUGUCAUCUGAAGUAAUGUUCCCAGUGAUAAGCAACGUGGCAUUCAUUUUAUAUUGAGGAUGGCGGGUUCCCAGUUCAUAGUGUUGCGGAUUGGGAUUUAUUUUGUUUAUUUUGAAGAUUUUGUUAUUGUGGAGUUCCAUGGAUUUAUUCUUGUUAAUUAUUGUAUCUUACAAUGUGUUUGUACUUUUGUUGGUCCACUGGAGGUGAACUGUCGGCCGCACUGACUGCCAGUUUUAAGAAUUAUUUCAGGACAUAAGUCUUCUCACACAAUUAUCCAGCAAGCUUUCUUCAUGGAACAGGUCGUACUUUCUUUCUUUAUUAUUUAUAUGCCGGAUUUUAUAAAUUAACUUACAAGUUAAGAUUUAAACUUAAGUUUAAUUAUUGAAUAUCAAUAGUGGCAUUAGCUUAUUAGCAUACAUAGAACUCACAGUUUAUACCAUUGAGCUAGAUUAAAUAUAAUUUGCAUUAGAAAGUGAAGGUUUAAAGGUAUACAUAUUACAUUAUAA